rnacentral:rRNA from 1 species
GCAUCGUCUGUGGGUGGAAAGAUUUUUUGGUUGAGGAUGGACUCGCGGCCUAUCAGCUUGUUGGUGGGGUAAUGGCUCACCAAGGCGACGACGGGUAGCCGGCCUGAGAGGGUGACCGGCCACACUGGGACUGAGACACGGCCCAGACUCCUACGGGAGGCAGCAGUGGGGAAUAUUGCACAAUGGGCGAAAGCCUGAUGCAGCAACGCCGCGUGGGGGAUGACGGCCUUCGGGUUGUAAACCUCUUUUAGUAAGGAAGAAGCCGCAAGGUGACGGUACUUGCAGAAAAAGCACCGGCUAACUACGUGCCAGCAGCCGCGGUAAUACGUAGGGUGCAAGCGUUGUCCGGAAUUAUUGGGCGUAAAGAGCUCGUAGGCGGUUUGUCGCGUCUGCUGUGAAAACUGGAGGCUCAACCUCCAGCCUGCAGUGGGUACGGGCAGACUAGAGUGCGGUAGGGGAGAUUGGAAUUCCUGGUGUAGCGGUGGAAUGCGCAGAUAUCAGGAGGAACACCGAUGGCGAAGGCAGAUCUCUGGGCCGUAACUGACGCUGAGGAGCGAAAGCGUGGGGAGCGAACAGGAUUAGAUACCCUGGUAGUCCACGCCGUAAACGUUGGGAACUAGAUGUGGGGGCCAUUCCACGGUCUCCGUGUCGCAGCU